UCUUGUGUGAAACCAGGAGUGAGAUGAUGAUUCAUGUGGGUUCCUUCCACACUCUACCAACUUUCGCCUACCUUGGAAGGAAGUUUUAAGAAAGACUAAAAUCUAUGCUUGUUCAGGAGCUGGCUCACAAAAUCAUCUCACACCCAUCUGAGGUAGAAAACUGAUCGUUCAUCUGGAGAGCAAGGCAGACAGCUGGGCUGGGAACAACCCCAGCCAACCAAUUUCAGCCUAUUUUGGCAUCUGAUUUUAAUCUGCUUCUGCAUAUUUUUCCAGUGCCUUAGAUGAACACAUUAUGGCCCUCAUGGACAUUUUCUGUCAUCCAACUCAACAAGCUGCAAAGAUUCACUGGAAAACUUCACUGAAUUUCUCUUCCUUUGA
rnacentral:lncRNA from 1 species